ACGAUUCACAGGCACACAGCACGAGCAUCCGCCGCCGCCGCCGCCUCGCCUUAGCCUUGCCGCCUCGUUCCGGCGAGCAGCAGCCACCCGGCGGCCGGUCCACCACGCAGACGCAGUGACUCUUCGACGGUCGGGAAGGGAGAAAAGGCUUCUGGGUGAAUCUUCUAUUAUUAGAAAAUGAACAAGGGCAAGAUUUUCAAGUUGGCAAAGGGAUUUAGAGGCAGGGCGAAAAAUUGCAUAAGGAUAGCAAGGGAGAGGGUUGAGAAAGCCUUGCAAUAUUCCUACAGGGAUAGACAUAACAAGAAGAGGGAUAUGCGAUCCCUUUGGAUAGAGCGUAUCAAUGCUGGUACACGAUUGCAUGGGGUGAACUAUGGAAAUUUCAUGCAUGGAUUGAUGAAGGAGAACAUCCAGCUCAACCGGAAGGUGCUCUCAGAGCUUUCUAUGCAUGAGCCCUACAGCUUCAAGGCACUUGUUGAUGUAUCCCGCAGUGCAUUUCCAGGGAACAGGCCGCCUGUUAAAAAGGAGGGUCUAGCAGCCAUCCUGUGAAAUGAUUAUGUUCAGUCGCACACUGCACUCAUGAUGGCCGUUGCAACUGAAAGUUACUACUAUUAUUGUCUUUUAGCUCAAAGGUUUCCUACCACUCAUGCAAAUCGGUCUAGCAAACUACAUUUAUAUUGAUUCGGAUCAGAAGCUCUAAUUCUUCAAUCCUCCAAAUCUCAAGUUAAUUAUUCAUAGUCCAUUUCGGCUUUUACUUUUCAUAAUGUAUUGGAAUAACUGUGUGUUCCUGAGAGGUGAGAGCUAUCCUUUUCAUCCUCCUUUUUUUAGGAGCACCUUUUUUAUCCUUAUAAAGUGUAUAUAUGUGCAUUAUUGGAUUCAGAUUAUCUGAUACAUAUUUUGUGCUGAGCUUCAAGUUCUGCUAAAGUAGACUCCAUUUUUUUAAAAAGAAAAAUAUAGCAAUAGUUGGCUUAUCCAGAAAAUAAGCACUAUGUUUCUGAUGCAUGUUGCUUACCAGUGGAUUGAUUAGCUAUCAGGACUAGCUAAUAGAUGUUUUAUGCCAUGCCAGUUUGGUUCAGAUCAAACUUGCACUAAGACAUUUUUCGAGGAUAUGUCAUCUGGCCAAUGAUUUCUAACCUACGGAUAGAAGUCACAAUGCUACGGUGUGUACAUAAAUUGUAGGCAAACUUUUUGGUGUUGGCCACUUGGCCUAGAGCUAUCCUUUUUUUCUGAACAGAAAGAAGAAAGCAAAGACAUAUAUUCUUGGUUCGAGGAAUUUACUUCUGCACAAAGAUUAUGUUGGUUCCCUUUCCAAGUCUAUAACGAAAUGCACAGCAAUGCGCACAUCACUUUUGUCUCCAUGCAAGUGUGAACACGGUUUGUUCAUUGGAGCAACCAAAGCCAUGCAGCUGUUGCGCUUUGGGUCUCUAUUUUCUCUUCGCUGGAUUGCACUAGCAUAGUAGAGUAGUAUUUAUCAACUGGGAGAAUAAAGUAGCAGUUCGUGGUUGCAUUAUCAACAAUGCAUUUCUGAAAAACUCAAUUUUUCAUCUUCUUUACAGGUUAUAGAAAAGGACCUUAUUAAUGUCUGAACUGGAACCGAAGAUUGUGUGAGCUUUGGAUGGAAUUCUCUGUUCGCUUUAUUCGUGCUCCUCUUGUCCUACCAUUCAUCCUAAGAUAUGAUUUUUAUUUCCUUUGUUUUUGAUUAAGACAUUUUACAAGAUACAUUCUUGUAGUUUAUAUUGCUAUCUAUAAAAUCGUAUUUGCUCC